UGGGGAAUUUUGGACAAUGGGGGCAACCCUGAUCCAGCCAUCCCGCGUGUGCGAUGAAGGCCUUCGGGUUGUAAAGCACUUUUGGCAGGGAAGAAACAGCCUGGGAUAAUACCCCGGGCGACUGACGGUACCUGCAGAAUAAGCACCGGCUAACUACGUGCCAGCAGCCGCGGUAAUACGUAGGGUGCAAGCGUUAAUCGGAAUUACUGGGCGUAAAGCGUGCGCAGGCGGUUCGGAAAGAAAGGUGUGAAAUCCCAGGGCUUAACCUUGGAACUGCACUUUUAACUACCGAGCUAGAGUACGUCAGAGGGGGGUAGAAUUCCACGUGUAGCAGUGAAAUGCGUAGAGAUGUGGAGGAAUACCGAUGGCGAAGGCAGCCCCCUGGGAUGAUACUGACGCUCAUGCACGAAAGCGUGGGGAGCAAAACAGGAUUAGAUACCCUGGUAGUCCACGCCCUAAAACGAUGUCAACUAGCUGUUGGGGUUUAUUAACCUUAAGUAGCGCAGCUAAACGCGUGAAGUUGACCGCCUGGGGAGUACGGUCGCAAAGAUUAAAAACUCAAAUGAAUUGACGGGGGUCAUAGCUGUUUCCAUG
rnacentral:rRNA from 1 species